GACGAACCGUCCAAACGUUAUUCGGAUUCACUGGGCUUAAAGGGUGCGUAGGCGGCUCAGAAAGUAGGGUGUGAAAGCCCUCGGCUCAACCGAGGAACUGCGCCCUAAACUACUGGGCUUGAGGGAGACAGAGGUAAGCGGAACUUACGGUGGAGCGGUGAAAUGCGUUGAUAUUGUAAGGAACACCAGGAGCGAAAGCGGCUUACUGGGUCUCUUCUGACGCUGAGGCACGAAAGCUAGGGGAGCGAACGGG
rnacentral:rRNA from 1 species